CGGACGCACCCAGAGCGAACUCAGGCAGCGAACGAAGCUCGGCCGCCAUAUUGGGGGAGCCUGGCGAUUCUGCGGAGCUGGCAGAGGCUUUAGGAAGCGCGGGAGGCGAGUGGUGGAGUACUGGGGACGGUUUCGGACCCUCGUUGGUUUUUCAUGCAGAGUGAUUUGCAAAAGGGUUUAAGGAAAUCGAUGUUGGAAGGUAGACAAGCUGCAGGGGGUCGGACGGUGCUUUGGGGCGGACCGCGCUCUGGCCCCGCGGUUGAGGAAGGAUAAGGAGCGGCCUAAAGGAUGAGCAAAUCGGGUUAAAAUGGUAUCCUCACACCUGCCGGCAGAAGCGGGGAGGGGUGGAAGGGGGUAUUAUGACGGCGGGCGAUCGGUUCCCGAGUAGCACGGGUUCUUGGGUAAAACCCAGAGAGCGUUCGCCCAAAUCCUGCGGAGAUGGGAUGCUCCUUAGCACGGAUCACCGACUUCCUUAAGUGUGUGGCACUCCCUAAUUACCACUGCUUAACAACUGAUUUUUUAAACGAAGUAACUGAAAUCAAAAACCACUGGUCCUUGAAGUGAUUUUGUCUAGUGUCUCGAAUGACCUGUAUGUCAACUGUGUUACUAAAGCAAUGCUGUGUGUUUAUUUUUCAGAGUCUGUCUGCACUGUGGAAAGAUGGGCGCCUUCUCUUCCUCCUGAGGGUGUCUGAAGGGUUAAAAAUGCUGAUGUACUUUAUGCUGUUUGUCUUCCUCCGUUUUGCACCUCAUUCUGAAAACAAAAGUAACUAGUUAUUUUGGGUCAGGAAGGUAGGCACUUCACACUACUAGAAGUUAAUAAAACUGUAGCUGAUAAACAAAUUCUCUUAUCAAAGAAAGGCUCGGCACAAUGAUUCCAGACGAUGAAAGCAUGGUAGAAAUAGUCUCUUCAAUGUAAGCAGUUUUAUGAGGAAUGAUCUUAUAUGUCACGUUUCCCGGGUACAAGUCACUAGAUGAAUGGCUUUGUUUUAUUUUUAAACAAAGAUAAUACGUAUUGGUCUCAUUUAUCUAUGAAUAUAACAAUGGGAAGGGCUCAUGCAAAUAAUUGUUACGCAAAAAUACCUUUGAAGUUAACAGUGGUAAGUAUAAGAAAAGGAACAAAGUGUUUACUAUUUUAUUUCUGACCUUCAGUAUAACUAUAGAAGUGUUUCAAGCUUAAUAGAUAUAAAAUAGACUAGACGGGUUUACAUUUAGGCUUAGUUUCAAACUUAAAUUAUUUAUAGGGGUUGGUUAUACAAAGUGUUUUUGUGUCUUAUACAAAAUUAUUGUGACUUGCUCAUUGAUAUUUCUUUAAGCAAUAACCUCCUCAAUUUGAGUUACUAUGGAAGACAAAUUUGUGGGGGGAAGAAACACCAACAAAUUUCUUAGAAAUGUGUGAGAGUGAGACCUAUGUAAUGCACUGAUUUCUGUAAUUUGUCAUAUGUUUGGGUAGUUUGAAGUUUUUCUAGCCUUAUAUCCAAUGGACAUCUAACCAUGAAGAAAUGAAAUGAAUCUAGUUAAUAGCUACAGUAAGUAAGAUUCCAUGAGUUAACCCUUAAGUUUUGGGGGGGGGGAGGGAGGAUCUAUACUAUUCUUUUAGAAAUUUCAUUUACAAAAUUAAUAUUUGAGGAGUCAGUGUUGUCAGCUUCUAAAACAAUAACCUCAGUGUCCCAAAGAAAACACUGGGUUAGGAAAACUGAAAAGUGGAAUUAGGACGGCCUUAAGUAGAUACAGAAACCUACUCUUCUCAUCUCUCAAAAGAGAAUUAGGGAGGAGGAUAAAGGGGGGAUAAAUGUGAUGGAAAAAAAUAAAAUAGGAUUAGUACAUUGAUUUUUAUUAUAAUUAUAGGUAGAUCAUUAAGUAGUAUUGUAUUGUCAUUGCUUAAAGAGCAAGGAUUUUUUCCAACAGGGUUAAGUGUCAGGAUCACCUAUAGAACUCGAAAAAUACAUAGUUAUUGUCCACCCAUCCCUGCCUAAUUCUGUAGGGUUGGAACUAAUUAUUGUGUAUUUUUUAAAUUAUAGAUGACAUGGGGGAUAUCUGUAAUACUGUAAACAGUAUCGGCAAAGAUUUUAGGUUUAUUACAAAUUAUACCCAUAAAUGAAUUGUGAUAUAUAUAGAUGAGGAAAUCACCCAGGGAUCAAUUUAUACUUGAUAGUUGGGGAGAGAGAAAGAAUACCAAAAUAUCUUGACUUACCUGGAUAUUUCUUAGAGUAAGGAUUUAGUCUAAUGCUAAGGAAGUGAUAAUAAGAGACACUUUUUCGGUAAGAGUUUAAUGCAAUCACAAAAUUAUGGUAAAGCUAUUCAGAUAUUUAAAAGAAGACUCUAGACAGGCAGCCAGAUACUAGAAUUUUCUGAAAAUAAUUUUUAGUAAGUCCCUAAAUUUU